rnacentral:rRNA from 1 species
UACGUAGGGGGCAAGCGUUGUCCGGAUUCACUGGGCGUAAAGCGCGUGUAGGCGGCGCGUCAAGUCGGGUGUGAAAGCCCAGGGCUCAACCCCGGGAUGCCGCUCGAAACUGGCGCGCUUGAGGCCGGAAGAGGGGAGUGGAAUUCCUGGUGUAGCGGUGAAAUGCGUAGAGAUCAGGAGGAACACCCGUGGCGAAGGCGGCUCCCUGGUCCGGCCCUGACGCUGAGACGCGAAAGCUAGGGUAGCAAACGGG